GUCGGAGCUUCAGGCUUCAGGGAGGGACAAUUGCCAUCAAAAGUCGUCAUGCCCGGGAGCAGGUGUUGCUCAGAAUUGUGAAGACGUUAUGAACCCAGGUGACUUGACUCAAGAGUUACAACCCCACUAAUGAGAAGCAAUCUGAUGGAGGGCAAUUUUUUAAUCUUUCACAUCAUCACUGUGGACAGUAAAUGCAAUUCUGUGCCUACAUUUUGUUAAGAAAGGAGCCAUCUACAGAUCCAGGGGAAGACUGGCAGCAUCCAAACAGAUGAUGCAUCAUCUUAAAACACGAUUGCUUGCCAUCCACUGUGGCUCUUUUUGUCGUGUAUAAAGAGCUAUAUGCUUUCAGGAGAAGCACAACUCACACUUGUUGAAUUAAACAAGAGGCUCGGGUGUUUUGCCAAGUACUCCAGAGACUGGUUCUACUCUCACACAGGAAGAAAUUUGAGUGAUUUUUGGCCAUGUUGAAGUCAUGACCGGUUUCCCUGGGAAGUCAACAGAAGUUUGGCAGGUGCGUGAGCUCUGCAGGGCAGAGAGCAAGAGGAGAGGUGAGCUCAGAAGGUAAUCGUAAAAUUUGGACACCUCUCUGCAGCUUUAAUGACUCAAACCUAAAAUAGUACUCAGGGAAAGACAGAGUUUGGAAGAAUUUUGAAUUGGGAGUUGGCUAUUUUGGUUGUUUUCUUCUGAUCUGGAAACACUGGGGGAGGGGUGGUUCUUCUACUGAAGUAAACAGGAAUUGUACACAAAGCAGGACUCACAUAAGAGUGAAGGGAUGUCCUACCAAUGCCCACGAUGACCCACUAACAUCCAGAUUUCUACAGUGGAGUUCCCUGGCCUUUACAUAUCAGUGGGCAAGUCCAUGAGAAACAAUGUGGCAGGUGGACUAAGGAAAAAUGGAAGCAUGAUGUGGAUUUUCUUUUCUUUGCAUCUCUUUGUUUUGAACAUACUGCUCUUUAUCAAAAUGCCUUUCUUCAAUUUCCUCAGCCCAGCAGUUUGAAUAUUUGCAUGAAGUAGGCACAUAUCACUACAUAUGAACCAUGAAAUGUAUUUGAAAAUAAAUGUUUUAAUUAAAAUUGACAUUUCUGAGCCUACUGCUGAGGGCAGCUGCUUUUUCUCUUAAAUUGCUUUGUCCGUCUCCAUAGGAGCCCAAUAGAAGAGCAGUUUCCAUCCCAUUUUAAUACUAAUUUAAUAUCAAGAGAACAGCAAUACUGUGUAUACACAAAUUUUCUUCUUUGGGUUGUUAAACCAGUUCUGAAAGACUACAAAUGGGUUUUGUACUCUCCUGAAGCAUUUGUCUAUUUUGCCUAUUU
rnacentral:lncRNA from 10 species